UCAGUGCUAUAUUUUUUACAGAUGUGUUGAUGAAUGGAUUUAUUUGCUGUAUUCACCUGUAGUGAAGUUCUGGCUCCAUCCAUUCUUUGACCCACUGUCUGCUCAGAAUGUACCAGCUGGGUUGAAAGGAAGCGAAAGGAAAAUAAAAAGAACCGUUGCCUCACAGUUUGAGUGACAAGUGUGGAUUUCCAACAGCUGAUUUGAAUGUGCCUCUUGACUGGAGCUUGGACCCCUCGUGGAGCGACGGCCUUCACAGCUGCUUCACACCCGAAGGACAGCGCGUCUCUGUUUUUGGGCCUCCUCAGCUGAUUGCGCGUGUUGAUUGGAGGCUUUGAUCAGGACAAACCUGCCCCAAGGGACACCUGUGGAAAAGAUGAUUACUCCGCUCCAACCAGGAUGAGUCACCGGGACAUUUGCCCCGGAGCAGAUUUAUGGCUCUGGGUUCACUCACUUUAUGCUGCACUAUAUAGGAUACCUGAGAGCAUUUGCUGGAUUCAUUAGUUGCUGUCUUGUUCGUGUCACUUGUUUAGAUUCUGCAAAGCAGGAGAGUGUUAAAUGUUAAAUGAUCCUGUACUUGUAUAACACUUUUUUUAUGGCUGGUAACCAAAUCGCAUUCAACGCUGCAUUCACAUAUUCACAAACACACAAUUAUACACUGGUGGCAGAACUUCUAUCCUGCUUAUGCUGACACCGGGGGCAACUUGGGUUCCAGUGUCUUGCCCAAGGACUCUUCGCCAAUGACUUGGGGAAGCCAGGAAUUGGACCACCGACCCUAUGCUUGAAGGACACUUAAUUGGUUGCAGCGGGUUACUCUGCAUUUGACCCAUCCCCUGGGGGAUGGGACCACGUGGUAGCAUCCAGGGACGUGGGACGCUCUGCUCCCCAGGCCCAUGCUCUGCUUAAUGAGCUACCAGGUCACUUCAUGAGACACCAAGAAGGAGAGAUAAAAUGCGUUGAGUGUCUAAAACACAAACGCUUCAUAGUGUUUCUGGAACAGUACAUAUCAUCAUGAAAUGAUGAUAUUUUGAUAUUUUACAUUGAUAGUUGGUAGAUCUAUACAUUAUGAGGCUCAGAGAUGGAGUGAUGACCCUUCCACAGAUAAUUGGCGCAGAUGAUAGAUGGAUGAAUGGAAAAGGGGACGUUAAAAAUAAUCCUGUCUGUGUAAAUGAGUUUUUUAUCUCUGUAGGUGUGAUUUAUCAUUGAAAUGAAAGUCAACAUAUUCUCCUUAGACAUAAAUUGGUGGAAAUCAACCAUUAAUAGUGUGACAGUUUAGGAAUGCGUGAGUUUGUUUAUUAUCUUGAAAGCUCCUCGUCCCUGUAUGAUAUUAUAGCCUCAGAGACUUUCUACUGUGGUUGUUCGCUGAGGAACAGAUCCACACACAGCACAUGUGGCUAUCACUUUGCAGAAAAGAGCUCUGAUGCCCCUUUUCUCUGCCAGUAUACUCACACUCUGGCCAUCUCAGGAUUUCUGGGGGGAAAAUGUUGAACAAUUACUCUCGGCAUUU